GUGCCAGCAGCCGCGGUAAUACGUAGGGCGCAAGCGUUGUUCGGAAUCAUUGGGCGUAAAGCGCGUGUAGGUGGCUAUGUAAGUCGAGUGUGAAAUCCCUGGGCUCAACCGAGGAAGUGCACUCGAAACUGCGUAGCUAGAGGACAUUAGAGGAAGGUGGAAUUCCUAGUGUAGAGGUGAAAUUCGUAGAUAUUAGGAGGAAUACCGGUGGCGAAGGCGACCUUCUGGGUUGUUCCUGACACUGAGACGCGAAAGCAUGGGUAGCAAACAGGAUUAGAUACCCCAGUAGUCC
rnacentral:rRNA from 1 species